rnacentral:tRNA from 3 species
UCCCCAGUAGCUCAGUUGGUCAGAGCAUCCGACUGUUAAUCGGAGGGUCGUAGGUUCAAGUCCUACCUGGGGAG